rnacentral:rRNA from 1 species
UACAGAGGUCUCAAGCGUUGUUCGGAUUCAUUGGGCGUAAAGGGUGUGUAGGUGGCGCCGUAAGUCGGGUGUGAAAUCUCGGGGCUUAACUCCGAAACUGCAUUCGAUACUGCGGUGCUUGAGGACUGGAGAGGAGACUGGAAUUCAUGGUGUAGCAGUGAAAUGCGUAGAGAUCAUGAGGAAGACCAGUGGCGAAGGCGGGUCUCUGGACAGUUCCUGACACUGAGGCACGAAAGCUAGGGGAGCAAACAGG